AUAACUGAUUUCUCCUGGUGCUUAGAGCCAGCUGCAGCCUUCUAGCACCAUUUGAAAUCGGUUAU